rnacentral:rRNA from 1 species
UACGGACGGGGCAAGCGUUGUUCGGAAUCAUUGGGCGUAAAGGGCGCGUAGGUGGUUCUGUAUGUCUACCGUGAAAGCGUACGGCUCAACCGUAUUUUGUCGGUGGAAACUGCAGGACUUGAGGCUGGGAGGGGCUGGUGGAAUUCCCUGUGUAGCGGUGAAAUGCGUAGAGGUGGGGGAGAACACUCGUGGCGAAGGCGGCCAGCUAGACCAGUUCUGACACUGAGGCGCGACAGCGUGGGGAGCAAACAGG